GGGAGCUUCAUUAUCACAUAAUUGGGCGCUGAUUAGCCGACCUCAUUAUAGGCCGGUGUGAUGGACUGUAUGUUAAUCUAGUGCAGCAUUCUUAGACAGAUAUCGCCACCACAUUGGCUGAAAUCACAACCUAGUCAACCGAAACUUCAGAAUUCGAAACCCGGCAAUCAUAGUUAGCCAUCACAUUAAUUUCAACUGCCUUACUCAAAU
rnacentral:lncRNA from 1 species